UCCUUGGUGGUCCAGUGGUUAGGACUCUGCGCUUUCACUGUCAGGGGUCUGGGUUCAAUCCCCAGUCAGGGAA